GAGAACAUAGAACAAAGAGUUAUGGAACUGAGAGAACAUAGAAAGAUAGAAGAUGGAACUCUCUAGCUCACUGGUGUUGGCUUUAGUCUUGGCUGUGUUGAUGUUGGUCUGGUGGAAGAGGAAGGCAAGUGGACUUAAUUUGCCCCCAGGGCCACUGGCACUGCCACUGAUUGGCAACUUACCAAUCAUGGACAAGCGUGCACCCUUUAAAAGCUUUAUGCAGUGGAGCAAAACCUAUGGGUCUGUGAUGACGGUUUACCUCGGGCCUCAAAGAAUGGUGGUUCUGGUCGGUUAUGAUACAGUGAAAGAGGCUCUAGUGGACCAGGCAGAGCACUUUACAGGCCGAGCACCCGUUCCCUUUCUGAUCAAAGUUCUGAGAGGCUACGGUUUGGUCAUAAGUAAUGGAGAUCGCUGGCGUCAACUGAAGCGGUUCACUCUCACCACACUGAGGGAUUUUGGAAUGGGACGCAAACGAAUGGAACAGUGGAUUCAAGAAGAGAGCAGACAUUUGCUGAAGAGCUUUGAGGAAACCAAAUCAACACCAGUUGACCCAGCCUUCUUCCUGAGCCGGGCUGUGUCCAACGUGAUCUGUUCAUUGGUGUUUGGCCAGCGCUUUGAUUAUGAAGACAAAAACUUCCUGCACUUGCUCCAGAUCAUCUCCAGGCUCCUGCGCUUUAUCAGCAGCCCUUGGGGUCAGUUGUACAACAUCUUUCCUAAACUAAUGCAACUCUUGCCUGGUAGACAUCAUGCCAUGUUUAAAGAGACAGAAGACAUCAAAGCCUUCAUCUUGAAAAAAAUCAAGGAACAUGAGCAAAAUUUGGACUUCAGUGACCCAAAGGACUUUAUUGACUGCUUUUUUAUUAAACUCAAACAGGAGAAACACAAUCCUGACACAGAAUUCCACAAGGAUAACAUGUUGGGGACCGUUUUGAAUCUGUUCAUAGCUGGUACAGAGACCACCAGCACAACUCUCAGAUAUGCCCUGAUGCUUCUUAUCAAGCACACCCACAUACAGGAGCAAAUGCAGAGGGAGAUUGACAGAGUUAUUGGACAGAACAGAGUCCCUACAAUGGAUGACAGGAAGUCCCUCCCCUUCACUGAUGCUGUGAUUCAUGAAGUACAGCGCUAUCUGGACAUUAUCCCACUAAAUGUUCCCCAUUACGCCACACAUGACAUCUCAUUUAGAGGUUACAUAAUACCAAAGGACACAGGUAAUUAUUCCCAUGUUGCAUUCUGUCCUAAGGGAUGAGGAACAGUGGGAAACCCCUUGGACAUUUAACCCAGAGCACUUUCUGGAUGACAACGGCAACUUUAAAAAGAAUCCAGCAUUUAUUCCCUUUUCUGCAGGUAAACGCUCUUGUGUAGGUGAGUCUUUGGCUCGUAUGGAGCUCUUUCUGUUCAUCGUGUCUCUGCUGCAGAAAUUCAGCUUUAGCAGUCCAAAGGGUCCGGAUGGAGUAGACACCAGUCCUGAACUUAGCAGCUUUGGCAACAUGCCUCGAUUCUAUGAUCUUAUUGCAUCCCCCCGCUGAGAAACAGAGAUAUUGCACCUUGUCUCAUUUUACAAAAAUGUGGACGAAAAAGCAGUCUUUCAUUCAAGACUCACAUUAAUGCCAUAGUUCAGUAGUUCUCAAAUUUUCAAGUAAGCCUUUGACCAAAUCAGAGCACCAAGUACUACUUAUUAAUAACCAAGUCUCUUUGAGCGCAAGCAUAAGAAGAUUGAAGAAACACUGACAAUUAUAAGGAAGCCAUCCAAGCAAAAUUUCAGGCCGCCUAUCUCUGGGUCAUCCUGCAUUGCCAGGGAAAGCAAAAUUGAAUUACUGCUGUGUAUGAAAUAUGUUGUAUAUAUAAACGUUUUGUGCCUUAAAAGUUAAUGAGAUAAAAACUGGUUCCUGCAAAAUAAUAUAUUUCCGCAUAAACUCACAGCAUAAACAGGUAAUUUACUCAGCUGGUCAUUUA